UGAGGAAUAUUGGGUCAAUGGCCGAGAGGCUGAACCAGCCAAGUAGCGUGCAGGACGACGGCCCUACGGGUUGUAAACUGCUUUUACGGGAGGAUAAAGUGCGCCACGCGUGGCGCUUUGCAGGUAUCCCGUGAAUAAGGACCGGCUAAUUCCGUGCCAGCAGCCGCGGUAAUACGGAAGGUCCGGGCGUUAUCCGGAUUUAUUGGGUUUAAAGGGAGCGUAGGCCGGAGAUUAAGCGUGUUGUGAAAUGCCGCGGCUCAACCGUGGCACUGCAGCGCGAACUGGUUUUCUUGAGUGCGCGCGACGCAGGCGGAAUUCGUGGUGUAGCGGUGAAAUGCUUAGAUAUCACGAGGAACCCCGAUUGCGAAGGCAGCUUGCGGGAGCGCAACUGACGCUGAAGCUCGAAGGUGCGGGU
rnacentral:rRNA from 1 species